rnacentral:rRNA from 2 species
CCAAGUUUUUAAGGGCGCACGGUGGAUGCCUUGGCACCAGGAACCGAUGAAGGACGUGGGAGGCCACGAUAGGCCCCGGGGAGCUGUCAACCGAGCUUUGAUCCGGGGGUGUCCGAAUGGGGAAACCCGGCAGUCGUCAUGGGCUGUCACCCGCUGCUGAACACAUAGGCAGUGUGGAGGGAACGCGGGGAAGUGAAACAUCUCAGUACCCGCAGGAAGAGAAAACAACCGUGAUUCCGGGAGUAGUGGCGAGCGAAACUGGAUGAGGCCAAACCAGUCACGUGUGAUACCCGGCAGGGGUUGCGUGGUUGGGGUUGUGGGAUCUCUCUUUUGCAGUCUGCCGGCUGUGAGGCGAGUCAGAAACCGUUGAUGUAGGCGAAGGACAUGCGAAAGGUCCGGCGUAGAGGGUAAGACCCCCGUAGCUGAAACAUUAGCGGCUCGUUUGAGAGACACCCAAGUAGCACGGGGCCCGAGAAAUCCCGUGUGAAUCUGGCGGGACCACCCGUUAAGCCUAAAUAUUCCCUGGUGACCGAUAGCGGAUAGUACCGUGAGGGAAUGGUGAAAAGUACCGCGGGAGCGGAGUGAAAUAGUACCUGAAACCGUGUGCCUACAAGCCGUGGGAGCGUCGCGCAGAGAACUUGUUCUUUGCGUCGUGACUGCGUGCCUUUUGAAGAAUGAGCCUGCGAGUUUGCGGUAUGUUGCGAGGUUAACCCGUGUGGGGAAGCCGUAGCGAAAGCGAGUCCGAAUAGGGCGUGGAGUAGCAUGCUCAAGACCCGAAGCGGAGUGAUCUAGCCAUGGGCAGGUUGAAGCGGAGGUAAGACUUCGUGGAGGACCGAACCCACCAGGGUUGAAAACCUGGGGGAUGACCUGUGGUUAGGGGUGAAAGGCCAAUCAAACUCCGUGAUAGCUGGUUCUCCCCGAAAUGCAUUUAGGUGCAGCGUCGUGUGUUUCUUGCCGGAGGUAGAGCACUGGAUAGGCGAUGGGCCCUACCGGGUUACUGACCUUAGCCAAACUCCGAAUGCCGGUAAGUGAGAGCGCGGCAGUGAGACUGUGGGGGAUAAGCUCCAUGGUCGAGAGGGAAACAGCCCAGAGCAUCGACUAAGGCCCCUAAGCGUGUGCUAAGUGGGAAAGGAUGUGGAGUCGCAGAGACAACCAGGAGGUUGGCUUAGAAGCAGCCACCCUUGAAAGAGUGCGUAAUAGCUCACUGGUCAAGUGAUUCCGCGCCGACAAUGUAGCGGGGCUCAAGUACACCGCCGAAGUCGUGUCAUUGCGAUAUUACUCCUAACGGGGAUCGUGAUGGGUAGGGGAGCGUCGUGUGCCGGGUGAAGCAGCCGUGGAAACGAGUUGUGGACGGUUCACGAGUGAGAAUGCAGGCAUGAGUAGCGAUACAAGAGUGGGAAACUCUUGCGCCGAUUGACUAAGGGUUCCUGGGUCAAGCUGAUCUGCCCAGGGUAAGUCGGGACCUAAGGCGAGGCCGACAGGCGUAGUCGAUGGACAACCGGUUGAUAUUCCGGUACCCGCUUUGAAGCGCCCAAUACUGAAUCAGGCGAUGCUAAGUCCGUGAAGCCGCCCUGGAGCCUUCGGGCAAAGGGGAGUGGUGGAGCCGACGGACCAGACUUGUAGUAGGUAAGCGAUGGGGUGACGCAGGAAGGUAGUCCAGCCCGGGCGGUGGUUGUCCCGGGGUAAGGGUGUAGGCCGUGUGGUAGGUAAAUCCGUCGCACGUUAAGGCUGAGACCUGAUGCCGAGCCGAUUGUGGUGAAGUGGAUGAUCCUAUGCUGUCGAGAAAAGCCUCUAGUGAGUUUCAAGGCGGCCCGUACCCUAAACCGACUCAGGUGGUCAGGUAGAGAAUACCGAGGCGUUCGGGUGAACUAUGGUUAAGGAACUCGGCAAAAUGCCCCCGUAACUUCGGGAGAAGGGGGGCCAUUUCUGGUGAGGGAACUUGCUUCCUGAGCUGGGGGUGGCCGCAGAGACCAGCGAGAAGCGACUGUUUACUAAAAACACAGGUCCGUGCGAAGCCGUAAGGCGAUGUAUACGGACUGACGCCUGCCCGGUGCUGGAACGUUAAGGGGACCGGUUAGCUUGGAUUCGUUCAGGCGAAGCUGAGAACUUAAGCGCCAGUAAACGGCGGUGGUAACUAUAACCAUCCUAAGGUAGCGAAAUUCCUUGUCGGGUAAGUUCCGACCUGCACGAAUGGCGUAACGACUUCUCGACUGUCUCAACCAUAGGCCCGGUGAAAUUGCAUUACGAGUAAAGAUGCUCGUUUCGCGCAGCAGGACGGAAAGACCCCGGGACCUUUACUAUAGCUUGAUAUUGGUGUUCGGUUCGGCUUGUGUAGGAUAGGUGGGAGACUGUGAAGCGCCAACGCCAGUUGGUGUGGAGUCGUUGUUGAAAUACCACUCUGGUCGUGCUGGAUGUCUAACCUGGGUCCGUGAUCCGGAUCAGGGACAGUGUCUGGUGGGUAGUUUAACUGGGGCGGUUGCCUCCUAAAGAGUAACGGAGGCGCCCAAAGGUUCCCUCAGCCUGGUUGGUAAUCAGGUGUUGAGUGUAAGUGCACAAGGGAGCUUGACUGUGAGACUGACGGGUCGAGCAGGUACGAAAGUAGGGACUAGUGAUCCGGCGGUGGCUUGUGGAAGCGCCGUCGCUCAACGGAUAAAAGGUACCCCGGGGAUAACAGGCUGAUCUUCCCCAAGAGUCCAUAUCGACGGGAUGGUUUGGCACCUCGAUGUCGGCUCGUCGCAUCCUGGGGCUGGAGUCGGUCCCAAGGGUUGGGCUGUUCGCCCAUUAAAGCGGUACGCGAGCUGGGUUUAGAACGUCGUGAGACAGUUCGGUCCCUAUCCGCUGUGCGCGUAGGAGUCUUGAGAAGGGCUGUCCCUAGUACGAGAGGACCGGGACGGACGAACCUCUGGUGUGCCAGUUGUUCUGCCAAGGGCAUGGCUGGUUGGCUACGUUCGGAAAGGAUAACCGCUGAAAGCAUCUAAGCGGGAAGCCUGCUUCGAGAUGAGGGCUCCCUCCUCCUUGAGAGGGUAAGGCUCCCAGUAGACGACUGGGUUGAUAGGCCAGAUAUGGAAGCACUGUAAGGUGUGGAGUUGACUGGUACUAAUAGGCCGAGGGCUUGUCCUC